rnacentral:rRNA from 1 species
UUGAUCCGGGGCGAAACACGUCGUGGCUCACGCUGGGGCGAAGGUGAAUGCGUGCGUUCAAAGUGGGUCCUUUCUGGUAAGCAGAACUGAUAAUGAGGGAUGAACCUAACGCUUAUGCUAAGGGGCCAAAGAGACAGCUAUUUCUCGAAACCAUUGAAAAGGUGUUGCUUGCUGAAGACAGCAGGACGGUGGUCAUGGAAGUCGAUAUCCGCUAAGGAGUGUGUAAUUACUCAUCCUGCCGAAGCGAGUAACCCUGAAAAUGGAUGGCUCUAUAGCUCUCUCCCGAUGCAUAGCCGUCAAUGGCAAUCGAUUCACAUUGUGUCUCCACGCCUUGACGAGUAGAGUGGUGUGCUGCAUGCGUUGACGACCGUCUCGUGAGAGUGGUCUGAGCGUGCAGCAGUACAGAUCUUGGUGGUAGUAGCAAGUACUCUGGUGAAUAACCUUGAGCUGUGAGGUUGAUAAGGGUUCCAUGUCAACAGUGUUUGUACAUGGGUAAGUCGGUCCUAAGCUCUCACUAUUCCUAGUGAUAAUGGCGAUACAACAGUUGUCCAUGUGAUGUGCUGUGCGUGUCUCUUCCUUUUGCCCUCGCAUGCAUGCGAACGGUAGCGUCUUAUCUAUACGAUAAGGGUGACGCUCUGAUCCUAGUAGUGUGUGUAUGUGUUGUUUGGAAGAGAACAAACACCAUGGCGCGUUAUUCACACAUACGACUGCUUCGCUCGUGGCGAAAGGGAACUACGGGCUCAGUUCGUAGACUGCACCUGGUACCCUGAGACGGUUUACCGACUCACGGACCUGGCAUCAGCUUGCCAGGCCAGUCGCUGUCAUGAGUACUCCGGCGGGGAGAUUUCUUCUCUCCUUGAUAUAGAUGGUGUCCUGAAAAGACCUAGAGUCGCGGAAGGACGAUGCUGUCUAGCAGAGUACUCUACUCCUUCGAGUAGAAUUCGGUGGUACUCAUGAUCCGUGAAAAGGUGGUCGAGGGGAAUGUAUACGAGCUUCAGGUCGACACCUAUGUGUUGUUCUGUUGCGACGUGUACACACUUUAGCUACGAGUGUUAAUCCAGGGCGUAUGCCGUAACCCAUAUCCGCAUGCCGGU